AAAUAGCCGCAGUAUCUUGACUGUGCGAAGGUAGCAUAAUCAUUUGUCUUUUAAUUGAAGGCUUGUAUGAAUGGUUGAAUGAGGGAAUAACUUUCUUUAUAUUAAAUAUUGAAUUUAAUUUUUAGGUUAAAAAGCUUAAAUAUUUAAGUGGGACGAGAAGACCCUAUAGAAUUUUAUUUUUAUUGUAUUAUAUAAUUAUGGGUUUAUUAUAUUAUUAAUUUAUUUAUUUUUUUGGGGUAAAAUUUAGAUUUAAUUAACUCACAUAAUAUAUUUAUUAAAUAUAAAUAUAUUUAAGAUCCUAUAUUAAGGAUAAUUAGAUUAAAUUACCUUAGGGAUAACAGCCUAAUUUCUCUGGAGAGUUCUUAUCGAUAAAGGAGUUUGCGAGCUCGAUGUUUGAUUAUAAUUAGAUUUAA
rnacentral:rRNA from 1 species